rnacentral:rRNA from 1 species
AUACGGAAGGGGCUAGCGUUGUUCGGAAUUACUGGGCGUAAAGCGCGCGUAGGCGGCCAUGCAAGUGAGGCGUGAAAGGCCUGGGCUCAACCUGGGAACUGCGUUUCAGACUGCACGGCUUGAGUCCGGGAGAGGGUGGUGGAAUUCCCAGUGUAGAGGUGAAAUUCGUAGAUAUUGGGAGGAACACCAGUGGCGAAGGCGGCCACCUGGCCCGGUACUGACGCUCAAGUGCGAAAGCGUGGGGAGCAAACAGGAUUAGAUACCCUGGUAGUCCACGCCGUAAACGAUGGGUGCUAGAUGUCGGGAGGCUUAGCUUCUCGGUGUCGUAGCUAACGCGUUAAGCACCCCGCCUGGGGAGUACGGCCGCAAGGUUAAA